rnacentral:rRNA from 1 species
CGGAGGCAGCAGUGGGGAAUAUUGGACAAUGGGCGCAAGCCUGAUCCAGCCAUGCCGCGUGAGUGACGAAGGCCUUAGGGUUGUAAAGCUCUUUUGGCGGGGACGAUAAUGACGGUACCCGCAGAAUAAGCCCCGGCUAACUUCGUGCCAGCAGCCGCGGUAAUACGAAGGGGGCUAGCGUUGUUCGGAAUUACUGGGCGUAAAGCGCACGUAGGCGGAUUUGUUAGUCAGGGGUGAAAUCCCGAGGCUCAACCUCGGAACUGCCUUUGAUACUGCAAAUCUCGAGUCCGGGAGAGGUGUGUGGAAUUCCUAGUGUAGAGGUGAAAUUCGUAGAUAUUAGGAAGAACACCAGUGGCGAAGGCGGCUCACUGGUCCGGUACUGACGCUGAGGUGCGAAAGCGUGGGGAGCAAACAGGAUUAGAAACCCUUGUAGUCCG